rnacentral:rRNA from 1 species
AACGAACGCUGGCGGCAUGCCUAACACAUGCAAGUCGAACGAAGUCUUCGGACUUAGUGGCGCACGGGUGCGUAACGCGUGGGAAUCUGCCCUUGGGUGCGGAAUAACUUCUCGAAAGGGAUGCUAAUACCGCAUAAUGUCGUAAGACCAAAGAUUUAUCGCCCAAGGAUGAGCCCGCGUAAGAUUAGCUAGUUGGUGGGGUAAAAGCCUACCAAGGCGACGAUCUUUAGCUGGUCUGAGAGGAUGAUCAGCCACACUGGGACUGAGACACGGCCCAGACUCCUACGGGAGGCAGCAGUGGGGGAAUAUUGGACAAUGGGCGAAAGACCUGAUCCAGCAAAUGCCGCGUGAGUGAUGAAGGCCCUAGGGUUG